CUUCCGGCCAUCGAGAUUGUAUGGUCCCGAUGACCGGAAGGAAUCCCUUCCGGUCAUUGAGACCAUUGAUGACUGGAAAGAAUCCCUUCCGGUCAUCAAUGGUCUCAAUGACCGGAAGGGAUUCCUUCCGGUCAUUGGGACCGUACAAUCUCGAUGGCCGGAAG
rnacentral:miRNA from 1 species